ACUCGCAUGGUUCCACAGACCGUGCGCUUUUCAUAGCCACUGUCUUCUAUAGAAACAUGCAAGAAAAACAUUUCCAUUUCUCCAAUUUCGGUUAUUUCUGCUAUAGAUAUAAUCACAGAGGAAUGUUAGUUACACUUUU
rnacentral:snoRNA from 1 species